rnacentral:rRNA from 1 species
ACGCUCGACACCUAGGAGGCAGCAGUGGGGAAUAUUGCACAAUGGGGGAAACCCUGAUGCAGCGACGCCGCGUGAGCGAAGAAGUAUUUCGGUAUGUAAAGCUCUAUCAGCAGGGAAGAAACUGACGGUACCUGACUAAGAAGCACCGGCUAAAUACGUGCCAGCAGCCGCGGUAAUCUGAGCGGGCUGGCAAGGC